CAACCCGGCUCCGCCUCCUGCGGCUUCCAACAGAUAGCGUCGCGUCCUGAGCCCUCCGUCUCGCUGGGCAGACAGCGGCCCACUGGCCUACGACUCCAGCUUCUGCUGCCGGCCCGAACCCCUGCGGCUUCUUGAGGGACCGAGUGGCACUGGCGCUGCUGGCCGAUGAUGGCCUUGAGAAAUAUCUAGGAAACAGUGGCCCAGAAGAAACGGAUGAUGUGAAACAGAGAAAGUAGAUCAGAGAGAUCACUAAAGCUGUUAGUCAUGGCUACCCACAGGCUGCCUUUCAUCUGAAGAGUUCAAAAAGGCUUUUCUAACCCGGGACUGACUUCUAGAUGGGAAAAUACAUCGCGGUAAGAAAACCGAUCUGACGCUCAGACUGAUAGGUCUACUCGGAGCUGGCACUUAUUUGGAAAUGAAAUCAGUCUUCAUCAUGCAGGGUCCUACUAAGAACUGUGACACUGAGUUUGGCCACUCUCAAAUGACUAUCUUACCCAUUUGCCAUGAAAUUUUCAGGGCUAGAUUUUUUUUUUCUUUAUCCCUGUUGGUGGGAAUUUAAGAGUUUCUUUAUUUAAGUGUUCCAAAUCCUAUGUCUAGGCAUUGCAUGAGAAUAAAUUACUAUGAAAAAAAAUAAAAAAUAAAACAUCAUGAAGAAGAAAAGAGUUCUUAUUUGUGAAUAAACUGUCAAAUUAUAUAACUGAAAAAUGAAGAAAAUAAGAUAGCUGUUCUUCAAUUGUCAUAUUAAUCAACCAACAGAAGUAAAAUUCUUAUA